GGCUUAACCAUGCAAGUCGAGGGGUAUAGUUCUUCGGAACUAGAGACCGGCGCACGGGUGCGUAACGCGUAUGCAAUCUACCUUUUACAGAGGGAUAGCCCAGAGAAAUUUGGAUUAAUACCUCAUAGUAUAUAGCCCUGGCAUCAGGAUUAUAUUAAAGUCACAACGGUAAAAGAUGAGCAUGCGUCCCAUUAGCUAGUUGGUAAGGUAACGGCUUACCAAGGCUACGAUGGGUAGGGGUCCUGAGAGGGAGAUCCCCCACACUGGUACUGAGACACGGACCAGACUCCUACGGGAGGCAGCAGUGAGGAAUAUUGGACAAUGGGCGCAAGCCUGAUCCAGCCAUGCCGCGUGCAGGAUGACGGUCCUAUGGAUUGUAAACUGCUUUUAUACGAGAAGAAACACUCCUUCGUGAAGGAACUUGACGGUAUCGUAAGAAUAAGGAUCGGCUAACUCCGUGCCAGCAGCCGCGGUAAUACGGAGGAUCCAAGCGUUAUCCGGAAUCAUUGGGUUUAAAGGGUCCGUAGGCGGUUUAAUAAGUCAGUGGUGAAAGCCCAUCGCUCAACGGUGGAACGGCCAUUGAUACUGUUAGACUUGAAUUAUUAGGAAGUAACUAGAAUAUGUAGUGUAGCGGUGAAAUGCUUAGAGAUUACAUGGAAUACCAAUUGCGAAGGCAGGUUACUACUAAUUGAUUGACGCUGAUGGACGAAAGCGUGGGUAGCGAACAGGAUUAGAUACCCUGGUAGUCCACGCCGUAAACGAUGGAUACUAGCUGUUGGAAGCAAUUUCAGUGGCUAAGCGAAAGUGAUAAGUAUCCCACCUGGGGAGUACGUUCGCAAGAAUGAAACUCAAAGGAAUUGACGGGGGCCCGCACAAGCGGUGGAGCAUGUGGUUUAAUUCGAUGAUACGCGAGGAACCUUACCAAGGCUUAAAUGUAGAUUGACCGGUUUGGAAACAGAUCUUUCGCAAGACAAUUUACAAGGUG
rnacentral:rRNA from 1 species